GAGCUGGUGACAGUUAGGAGUGUUGGAGGAGUUAUUUGAAGUGUUUGAAGCAGAAAGUGACCUGUAUGCAGAGUCUGAAUCAGAACCAUCACAGAAAGGCACUACAUCUGGGAACAAAUUAUAUUUGGAAUUGGACCAACAUCAUGAGGCGAAGACACCAUUGAUAUUAAGGAAGAGAUUGUAGAGGAAUAUUACAAAGGUGGUUAUGAAGAUAACCCAGCACAAGAUACUUCUGGGAGUGAGUGCAAGCUGCGAUGGGUUUCCUUGCGUGACCAGUAUCAAAGAUGUACUUAAGGAAGAUUGCUACAAAAUGUGGCCAGGAAGCAACAAGAAAACAAAAUACAAGUAUGCUGAUGAAAUGUCCUUUGUGAUGCCUUCUUUGCUUGAGAGAGAGAGGCAGUGUCUAAUCUAGCAACUUAUGGAGCAAGUGUGGAUACUGAGGACGUGGAAGAUGAGGAGGAUGAUGAUAUGGAAUUACAACCAAAGAAACACAAAUGUAGCAGUGGUGAAGACCAGCCAUCUAUUGGAGAGAUGUGUUCAGGACAAGUAGGCAAAUGUGCAAUCAAGACAACAGUGUGUACUUCAUUACGAAAAUCCAUGCCGCCACCUCAGACAGCUUCUGCCAUGCUAAUGAAAUAUUUAGUAGAUAAUGAGAAGGAAAAAGUGUCUACUGAUCCCAUUGAUUUGUUCUUUAAUACCAUGGCUGCUACAGUAAAGAAAUUUUCCCCUUAUCAAAAUAUUAUCAAAACCAAAAUUGUUUUCACUUGUUGCACGCUAUGAGAUGACACAAAUUUUAGAGCAAAUUCCACCUGCUGCAUCAGUUACGCCAGCAUUUGGGUACACUACAGUACCGGCCACAGUUCAAAACACUAACACAGUCGAUUCACCAUAUCCAUCACCAUCAUCCUAUUCACACCACUCAGGAGAAAACAUGACAACCAGUUUCAGGAAAUGUAAAGGACAUGAAAAAGACAUCGUACACACACAUUAGAACAUGUUUUGUACUAGCAUAAUGCACAAAAUAACAUAUGAUUGUACGUAAUAAUUAGUUUUAUACUCCCCUUAAGCAUACAAGCCUGUUUUUGUUUCAAUGGAAUCUCAAGCAGAUAGUUGAAUUUAGA